GUGCAGCAGACGAGAAUCUUCCACAAUGGACGAAAGUCUGAUGGAGCGACGCCGCGUGCGGGAUGAAGGCCUUAUGGGUUGUAAACCGCUGUCAGGGGGGAAGAACAUCGGAAUGAACAAUACUCAUUCCGACUGACGUUACCCCCAGGAGGAAGCUCCGGCCAACUCCGUGCCAGCAGCCGCGGGUAAUACGGGGGGAGCAAGCGUUGUCCGGAAUUAUUGGGCGUAAAAGGGGCGUGUAGGCGGCGAGGUAAGUCGAAUGGUG
rnacentral:rRNA from 1 species